rnacentral:lncRNA from 1 species
CUGAUUUGUGGAAGGCUGUGUUGCCACCUCUGUUUUAUUGACCUCCAGCCCAGCUAAGACGGCCUUGUAACCUUCCCAGGCCUUGUAGAUAAGCAAGCAAGGGACCCAAGAAUAAAGAGUAAUUCAAAAUCCAGUAAAUGGAAUGUGGAAUCGGAUCAGAGUAGGAGACUUCAUCUCACCAUAAACAGGAACCUGUCAAAGUGCAGAGGUAACCAAAUGCUGCCCUGUACAGGAGGAGACUGAGGCAGCAGGUGCCACAUUCCUUCGAUCAGAACGGGUUUUUCUCCAAAGCUUUGCCAGGGAGAUUGGUGAGCAGGCCAGGGGAGAGAUCACCUGGAGGGACAUAGGAGGCUGGGUUCCCUCAUCUCUCUUUCUCAUCCAGCCCCUACCCCUCACUCUGUCUGAACUGCAAAGGUGAGUAAACUGAGGCCCUGACACCUAAUCCCCAAGAAAUAAGUGUGGCCAUAAUAAGUUGUAAAAGAUGCCU